rnacentral:miRNA from 1 species
AGUUAUAAACAUACACAGCCUGUUGGGUAGAACACGUUUCCAGAAUCGUGAGAAAUGGCGCUCAAAUCGCAGCGGAACGGACUCCCAGGCCUGAGGCCAUUUCUCACGGAACGGUCCCCUUCUUGAAACGUAUUCUACCCAAGAGGCUGUGUAUGUUUAUAAC